UGCGAAGGGGGCUAGCGUUGUUCGGAAUUACUGGGCGUAAAGCGUGCGCAGGCGGCUUCUCAAGUCAGGGGUGAAAGCCCAGAGCUCAACUCUGGAAUUGCCUUUGAGACUGAGUGGCUUGAGUACGAGAGAGGUGAGUGGAAUUCCCAGUGUAGAGGUGAAAUUCGUAGAUAUUGGGAAGAACACCGGUGGCGAAGGCGGCUCACUGGCUCGUAACUGACGCUCAUGCACGACAGCGUGGGGAUCAAACAGG
rnacentral:rRNA from 1 species